rnacentral:lncRNA from 1 species
AUGUUGGCAUUAAAAUUAGAACUUCCUGCCCCCGCAGGGCCGUGUGGGAGGCCUGGCCAAGAAGCUAUCUUUAUGGGGGUUGAAGAGGGUGGACUCUCCCCUCGCUGGAAUGGGACAGGGAGGCGACAGCUUGUGAUCGGGGGACCCUCAGGAUCUCAGAGGACAAACCAGGAGCCCAGCAGGGAGCCUGGGAGGGACUCACCCACACAGCGCAGAACGACCAGGAACUCGUCCUCCGACAGCCCGAAGGCGUUCUCCGGGCUCUCCAGCACACUCAGCAGGCUGCCCCCAGAGCAGUGCUCCAUCACCAGCACCCUCUGCCGGCUGCCCCCCUGUGGGCGGUGCAGAGGUGGCUCAGCCCACCGCCACCAGCUCCCCAUCUGCACACCCCGACUUCUGGCCCGGCCUCUCCUCCCUGAUCCCACACCCUGCAAUCCAGGGCUGUCGCUUCCAGGAAGCCCUCUCCGAUUGGACACUGAUCCCACCAUUCCUUUCCUGUUCUGUCUGAUGGAGGCUCCAGGCCAAGACCCACCGUCUCCUCCACCGCGAAGAGCUUGACGAUGUUCUGGUGGUUCAACUUCCGCAGGACCUCAAACUCCCUCUCCUGCACCUCCCGGGGACGCAGGUAGCUGGCAGUGUUGAAGACCUUCACGGCCACCAGCUCCCCGGAUUUCUGUGGGGACACAGGGCGAGGCCACAGCUGCCAGCCACCUCUCCAGGGACCCAGCCCAAGCCCAGAGAGGAGAGGGCAGCCUGUGGGGUGGGGGGGGGUGGAGGCAUCCACCCUUGGCUCCUCCCCCAGCUCAUGGUGGCAUGGCGCAGUACGGGGAGGUGACAAGGGCUCGGCGCACCUGCUGUCCACCUAUUGCCAGCACAGGGGCUGCCAACACGCCCUGCUGUGAGCCCUCCAUGCCAGCACCGCCCCUGCCUCUGCGGGCCACGCCCCCCUGCCGGCAUCUUUGGAUCUUGCUCUGUGUUUUCACCUUUCUCUCUCUCUCUCUCAUUCUCUCUCUCUCUCUCUCUCUUUUUUUUUUUUUUUUGACAGGCAGAGUUAGACAGGAGAGAGAGAGACAGAGAGAAAGGUCUUCCUUUGCUGUUGGUUCACCCUCCAAUGGCCGCCGCGGCCAGCGCACCACACUGAUCCGAAGCCAGGAGCCAGGUGCUUCUCCUGGUCUCCCAUGGGGUGCAGGGCCCAAGCACUUGGGCCAUCCUCCACUGCACUCCCUGGCCACAGCAGAGAGCUGGCCUGGAAGAGGGGCAACUGGGACAGAAUUCGGCACCCCAACCAGGACUAGAACCCGGUGUGCCGGCGCCGCAAGUUGGAGGAUUAGC